UGAUCUUUGAAGUAUCUCCGAUGAAAAUUCAGUCUGAGAACAACUCAUAACUACGGUGAAUGUGUUCUAAACGUUUGAAUCUUGGGAAACUUUGGUCUUUGCACCGGCCUCGAGUGUCCAGUCACAACGGAGGUGUUUCUCAGCAGACUCAACGGCCUGCUGUGUCAAAUCAGUUAGAUCCUGUUUUGAGACUUGUCCGCCAACGGCAGCGUUCCAACAUUCCAUAUAUAAUCUUUGUUCUGCUUUCACAUACACACACUCUGUGUCGGACUACAGUCUUUGCCCGUGUCACACUGUGUGUCACAGAGCACUCUGUUCAUUAACCCAUUCAUGGAGUGGGUGGGUAUUUUUUGCUGAAUUGAGAUAAAAGUUUCCUAACAGGCCACAAUCAAGGAAAUAAAACUUUUUUUUCGUUUAUGGUUAAGUUAAAUGAUAACCUGAGGCAGCCAUGUUGGGUCAGGAAUGAAAGGGAAAUAACUCCAAUGACCAAUGAGUUAUCCUCUCCUGAUACCAAAUUAUGGCUUCAGAUUAAAACACUUAAUUAUUUUGAUAUACUGAAGGAUAUAAUGCUUGAAAAUCAUGAUGUCCCAAAAAUGGGUUAAACUUCAAAGAGUUUGUCACGUUUCACGCCUCUGGACUCUAGUUAUUGACCAAACCUGGAAUUGGACGAACACGUGGAAACACCACAAAUGGACCUCCUUCCACCAACUGGUGACCUUGACGUGAUUCGAAACCAUCCAUUGGACCGACAGGCAGAAAUUUUGCCACGCCACAAUUGACAAGGUAAGAAGACAUUUAUCUUUUCAGUCUAAUUUUUAUCUGUCGGCCAGUGUGUGGUAAGGUUUCACUUCCUAUUGUUUGAAAUUGAAUAAGAGGCUGUGAAAUGUGAUGUUAUGGCCAGAAAGUAAAGAGAAUAAAAGCGCAUAAGUACAAAGAGAAACCGAGAAAUAACCAAUACAUUAAGUGUUGUAAUUAGCAAAAAGAGAAGGCGGAUUUGCUCUUCGAGUGAGUUUUAGAAUAAAUAGGUCCUGUUUUGUGUUAAGAGGCGGUGUCGUUCCCUUACGGAAUCUGAAAUACCACAAUUUCCUCGAACCAACAACUGAAUGUGUGUGGAGUAAACUGUCGGGGACAGAGAGAAACGAGAAACAGUAACCUGUCGGGGACAGAGACAUAUCACACUGGAUACAUUAUACUGUGAAUAGAGGUGGGUUCGUUCUAUUAGAGAAUCAUAGAAACAGUAAUUCCUAAUUUUCCGGUGUAAGAGGCAACAUCGUUCUUCAGAAGAAUCUUAGAUGUCUUAAAAUUCCUCAUAUUACGGUGUGAAGUAGUAAAGAAAAACGCGCAAGCUUGAGUAACGGUGUUUUGUAAAAAAAAAAAAAAAAAAAAAAGAUUUGGAUCCAUUAUACAAUCAUAAUAUAAAUAAAAUAAUAAUGAUAAAUAAAUAAUAUAAAUGAAAUAAUAUAAUACGACAAAGUAAUCAACUCUGCGCAACCAAUUGAUCACUGAAAUUGCAGAAUGGACGGGAACAGAGAAAAAGAAUGGUGAGAUUAACGCGUCAUCCUAGAUGAUGAUCAGAAAAUUCCACUUAGUGACCAAAUAAGAAUUACAUGCAAAGUAUGCAUGGAAGGCCUUCCUGAGCGUGAGAGAGAAAAUAAGAAUAAAAGAGUUGUGUGAGUGAGUCGACGGAUGACUGGCUUCCAACCUUGAUGUCUCCGUCAUUGGUCAUGUUGGUGAAAGAAGUGAUAAAGUGUUGUGUGGUGAAAAAGGAGAAACUUGAGAGUAACAUUAAAAAAAAAAAAAGUCAGCGGGCAGUCCAAGUCCAAUAUCAAACCAAGAUUCAUAGUCAAUUACAGCCUUGAAUGCACAAAAAUAGCAUUUUCUGCAAGGGACACACUUCCCGAAUCGCGAGCAGCUACGGACUCAUCACGCAACAAUGUUGCCGUGGCUCUCGGGGCUGGUGUCACCGCCUCAAUUAAUCACUUGCAAGACACUGUUCAUGAUUUAUUACUCAUAAACCAUUCACUCCAUCCGAUUUGAGAAUGUCGUUACAGGAACUUCCUCCGAUGCAAAGUGGAGGGGCGAAUUGGCUGAGGGCUGUUCAGCGUGAUAAAACUCGGCAAAUUUUUACUUCUGGUGAUUUGAAAAUCCUGAAGACGCAAGCGACUCGACUCUCUCAGCUCGACAUCUUGAUGUCUCCCUCCACUGUCAGCAGCCUCCUUGAUGGUCGUGAGAAUGUUGGUUAUCCAAAUAAAGGCUGGAGAUGAUGAACAGUUUCUUCAAAGAAUUUACAUACAGAAUAUUCCGGGCACUUAUGAGUUACAGACAAUGGCUGUAGAGAGCAGAUCACAAGUGCAAAGGAAUUUCCAAAAGGGACUGAACUUCGCAAGAACAAGUUGGUCGCUUUGAAAAGCCAGGCAGAAAAGCAGGCAAUUCAGGAAUCUCAUCGCUGAGCUGGACCAAGGGCUUCCAGGUGACCUGCCGCUGCUCUGCACUGUGAGGUGGCUGUCAAAAAUCAAGGUACUCUCUCGCUUUUUUGAGCUUUUGUAUGCUGUGAAACUGUUCAUGGAAGAGAAGGACAAGGACUAUCCCGAGCUCUCAGACCUCGAGUGGAUUAUGGAUCUGGCAUUUUCAGUCGACAUGCUGUGUCACUUGGACAGACUGAACCUGGCCCUGCAGGAAAAGUUAAAAAUGCUGCCUGACCUGGUGUGUGUGUGUUUGUCAACAAACUAAAGCUGUUUGAGGCGCAUAUUCUAAAGCGAGAUUUAACACAUUUUCAUACUCUGCUAAAAGCCAGUGAGCAAGUCACCAGCGCCGCCCUGAAAAAGAAAAGAGACAGAUAUGCAACACUGGUUACAAACCUGCACGAAAGCUUUGUGACCCAGUUCUGUGAUCUACAACUGAAAAGACCACAGAUUACGUUCCUCGUCGACCCAUUUAAUGCGGAGACAGACUGUUUGAAAGCCCCGCUCGUCACAGAUGAGGCUGCGGCUGAGUUGGAGAUGAUCGACCUUUGUGAGGAGGAUCAACUGAAAGCUGUUUUAAGGGAAGGGACCGUUGAGUUCUGGAAAAGUGUGCCAAUUGAAAAAUACCCCAACAUCAAACGAGCUGCGCUUAAAAUACUGUCCAUGUUUGGGUCAACGUACGUCUGCGAGUCUGUGUUCUCUAAUCUGACACAUGUGAAAUCAAAGCAUCGAUCUGUUCUGACUGACACUCAUUUGAAAGAAUUGCUUAGAGUGGCAACAACAGAAUACAAGCCAGAUUUGAAGAGGAUUGUCCAAGUCUCACUAAGAAGCAUAGUAAGAGAAAGAUGUUAUUGAAAAUUAUUCUAUUAUUGUUUGUGGACUUGCUUGAACUGAGAGUUUGCGUGUGUGUGUGUGGUGUGUGUGUGUGUGUGUGUGUGAGUGAGACACUGCACGCAAUGUUAACUGUUGAAAAUUACUGAUAUCAUGUUGGUGUGGUUAUUUUCAUUAGAUCUGGCUGAUCUGUGUAUGCGUGCAUACAUGAUUAAAAGAUGAUGUUCAUGUGUACCCAUGUGUAUGAUGUGGCUCUUUGCAGUAACACAGAAAAAAAAGUGUCUCUUAGUCUCUGACUUGGCCACCCCUGGUUUAUAGGGAUGACACUUGACCUUGAAGUUAAAGCGUAAAGCUAAAAAUCACCACUCUAGUGGAAUUGAUUUUGAGACAUCACUGCACAAAAGAAUUGAUAUUUGCCACAUGGUGUACCAAUGUUACAGAUUGUCAAGAAAGACCCUCGAUAUGGGUCCAUCUGGGAUUUGAACCCUGGACCGCUCACACUCUAAGGGAGAAUCAUACCUCUAGAGCCCAGGAGAGCUCUGAAAUCGAGUCAAAUAGUGGAGCGCAGAGUCCAAAGCAAACACGGUGAAGCAGCAUUUAGCUAUUAUGCAGCACACAAAUGGAAUAAGUUGCCAACAGAAGUGAGGUCAGCCCCACGUGUGAAUGUUUUUAAAUCCAGGUUGAAAACUAUUCUUUUUUCUCAUGUUUUUUUUAAUAUAUCCACUUUUUGAUCAUAUUACUUGCACUGUAUGCGGUUUUAAUUGUCUUUUUAAAAAUAUUUUGUUUGUCAUUUUUAUUGUUUUUAUUCGGUUUUAAAUGUUGGAUCUCUUUGUUUUC